rnacentral:rRNA from 1 species
GAUGAACGCUGGCGGCGUGCCUAAUACAUGCAAGUCGAACGAAACUUCUUUAUCACCGAGUGCUUGCACUCACCGAUACAGAGUUGAGUGGCGAACGGGUGAGUAACACGUGGGCAACCUGCCCAAAAGAGGGGGAUAACACUUGGAAACAGGUGCCAAUACCGCAUAACCAUAGUUACCGCAUGGUAACUAUGUAAAAGGUGGCUAUACUACCGCUUUUGGAUGGGCCCGCGGCGCAUUAGCUAGUUGGUAGGGUAAAGGCUUACCAAGGCAAUGAUGCGUAGCCGAAUUGAGAGGUUGAUCGGCCACAUUGGGACUGAGACACGGCCCAAACUCCUACGGGAGGCAGCAGUAGGGAAUCUUCCACAAUGGGCGAAAGCCUGAUGGAGCAACGCCGCGUGGGUGAAGAAGGUCUUCGGAUCGUAAAACCCUGUUGUUAGAGAAGAAAGUGCGUGAGAGUAACUGUUCACGUUUCGACGGUAUCUAACCGGAAAGCCACGGCUAACUACGUG